rnacentral:rRNA from 1 species
UUAAGGGGCUUGCUUCUUAAGUUAGUGGCGCACGGGUGAGUAAUAUAUAGCUAACCUGCCCUUUAGUGGGGGACCACAGUUGGAAACGGCUGCUAAUACCCCAUACUCCUUCUGAUCUUAAGGUCAGUUGGGAAAGAUUUAUCGCUAAAGGAUGGGGCUUUAUUGUAUCAGUUAGUUGGUGGGGUAAUGGCCUACCAAGACAAUGACGCAUACCUGGUCUGAGAGGAUGAUCAGGCACACUGGAACUGAGACACGGUCCAGACUCCUACGGGAGGCAGCAGUGGGGAAUAUUGCACAAUGGAGGAAACUCUGAUGCAGCAACGCCGCGUGGAGGAUGACGCAUUUCGGUGUGUAAACUCCUUUUAUAAGGGGAAGAUAAUGACGGUACCCUAUGAAUAAGCACCGGCUAACUCCGUGCCAGCAGCCGCGGUAAUACGGAGGGUGCAAGCGUUACUCGGAAUCACUGGGCGUAAAGGAUGCGUAGGCUGGAAAUCAAGUCGAAAAGUGAAAUCCCAACGGCUCAACCCGUUGAACUGCUUUCGAAAACUGGCUUACCUAGAAUAUGGGAAGAGGUAGA